UGAACUCUAAUGUGUGUGACCUCAUAGGUCUGAACCUAAGCUGAUAGUAUAGGAAUAAAUUUUUAUACCAAUCGAAGUGACCAUCUAGCAAUGGUACCCGACGAUCGGAUAGGUCGAAUGUGUAGAACAACAUCCUUGGAAACCAUGCGGAUAUAGUUUUCAUAUAAUUCAUCUCCUUGACCAAAAUGAUCAUAGGACACCCCAGAGUUUAACUGUCAACUCUGAUCAGGUUGUCUACAUUGUAUUUCAAAAUAUCAAAUCCAUCUAAUGGAUUACCCUGGCCAAGGUUUUGCUAAAUUGAAAUACAGCAACUCAUUCUUCUCCAACUCUUGGAGUGGUCAAUCCCAUC
rnacentral:lncRNA from 1 species